UACAGGGGGCUCGAGCGUUAGUCGGAAUCACUGGGCUUAAAGGGUGCGUAGGCGGCUCAUCAAGUGCUUUGUGAAAGCCCACAGCUCAACUGUGGAACUGCAGGGCAAACUGAUGAGCUUGAGGCAGGUAGGGGCCGGAAGAACAGUAGGUGGAGCGGUGAAAUGCGUAGAUAUCUACUGGAAUGCCGAUGGGGAAGCCGUCCGGCUGGGCCUGUCCUGACGCUGAGGCACGAAAGCGUGGGGAGCAAACAGG
rnacentral:rRNA from 1 species